CUUGGAAAACUGAAGCCAAAGGAAUCGGAUCCACCAAGUGCCCUCCCAAAAGCGAAUGUUAGGAUACCCAAUAAGUUAAACCAAAAUUGUUCAGCAUUUUAAUCUUACACGCUAAUGAAAUCUUGAGUUCAGUGGCCAAGAUUUUUGAUGAUGUAAAAAAUUUUGAAAGACUCGUUUGGUUGACCAGAAGUAGAGAGGG
rnacentral:lncRNA from 1 species